GCCGGGGAGGACCCCACGGAAACGAGCGACGCGCUGCUGGUCCUGGAGGGCUUGGAAUCGGAGGCCGAGAGCCUGGAGACUAACAGCUGCUCGGAAGAGGAGCUCAGCAGCCCCGGUCGCGGAGGAGGAGGGGGCGGCCGGCUUCUGCUGCAGCCCCCAGGCCCUGAAUUACCUCCGGUGCCCUUCCCGCUGCAGGACUUGGUCCCUCUGGGGCGCCUGAGUAGAGGGGAGCAGCAGCAGCAGCAACCUCCCCCGCCCCCGCCUCCUCCCGGGCCCCUCCGGCCACUCGCGGGUCCUUCUCGGAAGGGCUCCUUCAAAAUCCGCCUCAGUCGCCUUUUUCGCACCAAGAGCUGCAACGGUGGCUCCGGCGGUGGGGAUGGGACCGGCAAGAGGCCUUCUGGAGAGCUGGCUGCUUCAGCUGCGAGCCUGACAGACAUGGGAGGCUCUGCGGGCCGGGAGCUGGACGCGGGGAGGAAACCCAAGUUGACAAGAACUCAAAGUGCCUUUUCUCCGGUCUCCUUCAGCCCCCUGUUCACAGGUGAAACUGUGUCGCUUGUGGAUGUGGACAUUUCUCAGCGGGGCCUGACCUCUCCACACCCUCCAACUCCCCCUCCUCCUCCGAGAAGAAGCCUCAGCCUCCUAGAUGAUAUCAGUGGGACGCUGCCUACAUCUGUCCUUGUGGCUCCGAUGGGGUCUUCCUUGCAGUCUUUCCCCCUACCUCCGCCUCCUCCACCCCAUGCCCCAGGUUAGCUUAGUCUAGAGGCAAGACUUGUAAGAGUUGGGAGUACAAAGUGAUACUUUGUACCAUAGAAGGAUGGGAGAAAUCUAUUUAUGGAAAUAACAGCUUAGUAGAAAGUUUAAAUCUUUUCCCCUUGGCUGGACCAGACUCCUUGGAAAUGAGGCCGAGAACUGGUUUUCCUAACCCGUUUUCUUUAUGGAGGUCAAUCUGAUUUUUGUUAGGGAUAAAAGACUACUGAAUUUUUCAUCAGUCUUUGCUGCUGAGACUGUUUUGCAAUCCUUGAGUAGAUAUCACUUAAGAAACUGCCUUAAUCUCAGGAUAGUGAGGUUUAAUAUGUUGGUGGUUUUCAACAUUCUGUGGUUUUUCUAAGCUUUUAGUAUUUACUGCAGCCUUGUAAAUAAGUACCAAGCAUUUAGCAGCCCAUGCCUGCUUUGCCAGCUUACAGUACCCAAGGAAUAAAAUGAAUGAAAUCAGCAUUCUUUUCUACUUGCCUGGCAAAAUCAUUACUCUUCCUGGGCAAGUAAGUGAGUCACUAUUUCCAAGGCUGCCUUAUCGGCACUUCACUUCGAGGUGGGAGAAGUUGGAAUCGCUCUAGGCUGGUGAAGCCCCUGAAGUAGUCACCUUAGUCAGAUGCAUUUCCCCGGAUUGCUCCCAUCCGAGCAGCUGAAUCCCUGCACAGCCAACCCCCACAGCACCUCCAGUGUCCCCUCUACCGGCCUGACUCGAGCAGCUUUGCAGCCAGCCUUCGAGAGUUGGAGAAGUGUGGUUGGUAUUGGGGGCCAAUGAAUUGGGAAGAUGCAGAGAUGAAGCUGAAAGGGAAACCAGAUGGUUCUUUCCUGGUACGAGACAGUUCUGAUCCUCGUUACAUCCUGAGCCUCAGUUUCCGAUCACAGGGUAUCACCCACCACACUAGAAUGGAGCACUACAGAGACGAAGUUUCGCUCUUAUUGCCCAGGCUGGAGUGCAAUGGUGUGAUCUCGGCUUACCGCAACCUCUACCUCCUGGGUUCAAGCAAUUCUCCUGCCUCAGCCUCCCGAGUAGCUGGGAUUACAGGAACCUUCAGCCUGUGGUGUCAUCCCAAGUUUGAGGACCGCUGUCAAUCUGUUGUAGAGUUUAUUAAGAGAGCCAUUAUGCACUCCAAGAAUGGAAAGUUUCUCUAUUUCUUAAGAUCCAGGGUUCCAGGCAUUUGGUUGCCAAGCUCCAGCUUCGAAGAACCAAAUUAAGCUACCAUGAAAAGAAGAGGAAAAAUGAGGGAACGGGAAGGUUGGGAUUCUCUGUGCAGAGACUUUGGUUCCCCACACAG
rnacentral:sRNA from 1 species